ensembl:miRNA gmo-mir-11248 gmo-mir-11248
CUGUAGUCCACUGGACCGGUCUGUAGUCCGCUAGACCGGUCGGUAGUCCGCUAGACC